rnacentral:rRNA from 1 species
UGAGGAAUAUUGGUCAAUGGACGAGAGUCUGAACCAGCCAAGUAGCGUGAAGGAUGAAGGUUCUAUGGAUUGUAAACUUCUUUUAUACGGGAAUAAACGAAUCCACGCGUGGAUUUUUGCAUGUACCGUAUGAAUAAGGAUCGGCUAACUCCGUGCCAGCAGCCGCGGUAAUACGGAGGAUCCGAGCGUUAUCCGGAUUUAUUGGGUUUAAAGGGAGCGUAGAUGGGUUGUUAAGUCAGUUGUGAAAGUUUGCGGCUCAACCGUAAAAUUGCAAUUGAUACUGGCAGUCUUGAGUACAGUUGAGGUAGGCGGAAUUCGUGGUGUAGCGGUGAAAUGCUUAGAUAUCACGAAGAACUCCGAUUGCGAAGGCAGCUUACUAACCUGUAACUGACAUUGAUGCUCGAAAGUGUGGGUAUCAAACAGGAUUAGAUACCCUGGUAGUCCACACGGUAAACGAUGAAUACUCGCUGUAGGCGAUAUACGGUCUGCGGCCAAGCGAAAGCAUUAAGUAUUCCACCUGGGGAGUACGCCGGCAACGGUGAAACUCAAAGGAAUUGACGGGGGCCUGCACAAGCGGAGGAACAUGUGGUUUAAUUCGAUGAUACGCGAGGAACCUUACCCGGGCUUAAAUUGCAACCGAAUAUGGCGGAAACGCCAUAGCUAGCAAUAGCGGUUGUGAAGGUGCUGCAUGGUUGUCGUCAGCUCGUGCCGUGAGGUGUCGGCUUAAGUGCCAUAACGAGCGCAACCCUUGCCGAUAGUUACUAACAGGUUAUGCUGAGGACUCUGUCGGGACUGCCAUCGUAAGAUGUGAGGAAGGUGGGGAUGACGUCAAAUCAGCACGGCCCUUACGUCCGGGGCUACACACGUGUUACAAUGGGGGGUACAGAGGGCUGCUACCACGCAAGUGGAUGCCAAUCCCAAAAACCUCUCUCAGUUCGGAUUGAAGUCUGCAACCCGACUUCAUGAAGCUGGAUUCGCUAGUAAUCGCGCAUCAGCCACGGCGCGGUGAAUACGUUCCC